AUUGAACGCUAGCGGGAUGCCUUACACAUGCAAGUCGAACGGAGUGGCGAACGGGUGAGUAAUGUAUCGGAACGUGCCCAGUAGCGGGGGAUAACUACGCGAAAGCGUAGCUAAUACCGCAUACUCUUGGCGCGGCCGAUACCGGAUUGGCUCGUGGGGGGGGUAACGGCUCACCAAGGCGACGAUCCGUAGCUGGUUUGAGAGGACGACCAGCCACACUAGGACGGGGACACGGCCCAGACUCCUACGGGAGGCAGGAGUGGGGAAUUUUGGACAAUGGGGGAAACCCUGAUCCAGCCAUCCCGCGUGUGCGAUGAAGGCCUUCGGGUUGUAAAGCACUUUUGGCAGGAAAGCGGUACCUGCAGAAUAAGCACCUGCGAACUACGUGCCAGCAGCCGCGGUAAUAC
rnacentral:rRNA from 1 species